AUGAUCGCCGUGUGCUUUUUGUUGGCGUGCUUGGGGGCAGCUCUGCAGCCAACGUCGGCCGCCGAGGAUGGAAGGGGUGGGAUCUUGCAUAUCCCUUCCGCUGCCGACCUGGCUCGGGCUCGCUGCCCUUCCAGAUGCGGCGGUGUUGCCCUUCACUAUCCGUGGGGGAUAGGGCCGGGCUGCUUCCGGCAAGGCUUCGAGCUCACGUGCAACAACACCACUAGUCAUAAGAAGCUCUUUCUGGCAAGGCUUCGAGCUCACCUGCAACAUCACCGCAGGUUAUAUGAGGCUCUUUCUGCCCAACACUACCACUGAGAUCCUUGAGUUACCUCCUGGAGAUACUUUGCUUCGGGUCCCUCCUAUCCACUUCAACGUCCCCAUGAAACCAGGUAUGACCGACACCUAUAACAUGUCAUGGGAGGUCCCUGUUAAAGGUGUUAUGAUCUAUGGAGGAGAAUCUAGCUUGUUCGUUGUUGGUUGUGGUGUGAGUGUUUACUUGUUUGGCCAUGAUACCGACGACCCCAUCGGUAGUUGCAUGAGUAUUUGCCUCGACGACAAAGUGGCCAUGAAGGAGGCAAAUGCAAACAACUUCAAUGGCGAUGGUGGGAUGGGAUACUGUUCCAUCCGUUUGCAGCGGGACGUUCCAGCAUUCGGGUUGGUAGUUGACCGCCUCAAAGGCGCAUCUGCACUAGCAGGUCAAGGUCAAGGGCUCUCUAAUAGUAGUAUCAAAGUUUUCUUGGCGGGAGAUUACAAAUUUCAUACGGUUGACAUCUAUUCAAGUAAGAUAGACGAACGAAAUGUUGCAUGGCCAUAUUUUAGCAUGGCCAUCACGGAUCAACCAAACUGUGAAAAUGCUCGGAAUAACAAGUCAAGCUAUGCUUGUAGCCAUUACAGCGAUUGCCUGGAUAUGCUGCCAUCUGGAGGCUACGCCUGUUUCUGCCGCAGUUACACAAACGACGGCAACCCCUACCUUAUAGAUGGUUGUGAACGACCAGCGCAUUACAAUCCCAAUCAAAAAGGCGGUUGCACCAAAUUUUGCGGGAACACACAUAUUCACUUCCCUUUUGGGCUUGAAAAGGGUUGCUACGCUGCUGAAAAGUUUCGACUUAACUGUACAUUAGACAACAUCACAAUUCUUGAUCGAGGGGUUGACAAUUUUGAUGAUGGGGCCAAAUUUAUUGUGGCCAAAAUUUCAGUGAAUGAAGGAUAUCUUACUGUUAGUGAAACACAAAAUGACUCAAGGUACGGUAACGAAGGGAUCGCGGUAAUUGGGUAUCAAAGCAAUGGGCAGUGGGAAAUACAAGACAUCUCUUUAGAUGGUUUUCAUUUAUCUGAAGAAUAUGGUAUGAAGAUGUGGUGGUCUAUCGAUAAUUUGACCUGUUCAGAGGCUACGAGCAAGCAAAGAAGUGAUACGUACGCAUGUCGUAGCAGCAAUAGCACUUGCAUUAUUGUCAACCAACUAGGCUACAAGAAUGUGACAAUGCUGCUCGGCUAUCGUUGCCAGUGCUCUAGAGGUUUUGAUGGAAAUCCAUACAUAUUGAAUGUAUGCCAAGAUGUCAAUGAGUGUUUGUUGAUAAAUAUUUGUAACGGCCCCUGCCUAAAUUACCCUGGAGGCCAUAGUUGCAGCGAGUGCACCCAUGGAAAAGAGUUUGAUCCAAGACAACUCAAAUGUGUCAUGUCAACAAAGAGACGCAAUCUUCUCUUAGGUAUCGCAACUGGAAUUAGUUACGGCCUUGGUGCCAUUAUUCUUGUGCUAGGUGCAACAGUACUCAUCAACAAGUGGAAGAGAGGCAUACAGAAGAGAAUUCGAAGGGCAUACUUCAAGAAAAAUCAAGGCCUACUCCUGGAACAACUAAUAUUAGAUGAAAGUGCCACAAAGAAAACAAAGAUAUUCUCCUUGGAGGAAUUAGAUAAAGCAACCAACAACUUUGAUGUCAAUCGUAUUCUUGGUCGUGGAGGACAUGGCACAGUUUACAAAGGGAUUCUAUCCGAUCAACGUGUAGUGGCCAUAAAAAAGUCUAAGCUGGUGGAGCAAACUGAGAUUGACCAAUUUAUCAACGAGGUUGCCAUCCUGUCACAAAUCAUUCAUCGGAAUGUGGUCAAGCUUUUUGGUUGUUGUCUCGAAACAGAAGUGCCUUUGCUAGUUUAUGAGUUCAUAUCCAAUGGCACACUAUAUGAUCUUCUGCACAUUGAUGUAAGUGUUCAAUGCUUACUUUUAUGGGGUGAUCGCAUUAGGAUUGCUGUAGAAGCUGCAGGUGCUCUUCCUUAUCUCCACUCAGCCGCUGCGAUACCAAUUUUUCAUAGAGAUGUCAAAUCUUCCAAUAUACUCCUAGAUGACAACUUUACUACCAAGGUUUCUGACUUUGGUGCUUCGAGGUCUUUAUCACUUGAUCAGACACAUGUAGUGACAAUUGUGCAAGGAACUUUUGGUUACUUAGACCCCGAGUACUACCACACCGGGGAGCUAAGUGAGAAGAGUGAUGUUUAUAGCUUUGGAAUUAUACUGGUGGAGCUUCUAUGAGAAAGAAGCCAAUUUUUAUUAAUGAACAAGGUAUAAAACAAAGCUUGGCUCAUUACUUUGUGGAAGGACUUCAGCAGGGAGUUCUCAUGGAAAUCAUGGAUCCCCAAGUUGCAGAAGAAGCGAACCAGAAUGAAAUUGAUGACAUUGCCUCAGUUGCGGAAGCAUGCUUGAAAACCAAAGGAAGAGAAAGACCUACCAUGAAAGAGGUAGAAAUGAAAUUGCAACUCCUAAAAACUAGAAGAUUAAGGAGUCAACUUCCUCCCAUAAAUGAUGGAGAGAUCGAGUCACUUGGGUACCUAAAUGGUGCUAGCUCUCAUGCACAAAGCAACAGCAUUGUCAGUAAUGUUGGCUUAACACCUACAUGUAGCUCCGGAAAGUACAGUCUGGAGCAAGAGUUCUUGAACUCGGCUAGCUUGCCACGCUAG
rnacentral:rRNA from 1 species